UCCGUAGGUGAACCUGCGGAGGGAUCAUUGAAUCAGUAAUCCCCACACGGUAACCAUUUGUAUCCUCGGUUACAGCUACUUGUAGCUGCAUCCGGCCCACGGUCUGGGUAACACCAGGCUGGUGGGGGGGCGGUAAGGUCGCCCUCCUACCGGUUUGUCUUCCUCUGAAGUCAUCCGGUAGGAGCUUACCGUCUUGGACCGGCCCUUUACACCUCAACCCUACUUUAACUAAUACGCUUUGGCAAUAACUUUGCCGGGCAACCAAUAAAACAACUCUCAACAACGGAUAUCUUGGCUCCCGUAUCGAUGAAGAACGCAGCGAACUGCGAAACGUAGUGUGAAUUGCAGAAUUCCGUGAACCAUCGAAUCUUUGAACGCAGAUUGCGCCCAAGGUUUCGGCCAAGGGCACGUUUCGCUCAGUGUCGGCACAACCCUUCACUCACUUCUGUGGGUGAGAUCUGGUAUUCCCUCUGCUCUGCAGAGGGUCUGCCGAAUGGCAUUGCCGGGUUCCUGAUAACCUGACGGCUUUGUCGAGCAAUUAUUUGCCGACUGUUGUCAAUAUCAGAGCU
rnacentral:rRNA from 1 species